UUAGAUUAGGUCCUAGUACGGUAUGUGACAUAUCUAUGGAAUGGAAACAUGGCAACAAAUUCAUGUGGCAAGCCCAAAAGAGAAUCUAAAACAAAAAGUUUCUAUUUUGAUUGAUGCUGGUCUGGAACACAAGGGGCUGGUCACUUAUUGUUUCUAUAGGUAUUCCUUAUCUUCACUUCUGGGCCAGGCUUGGAAACCUGAGAUGAAUCCAGUGGGUAUGUAUACAAUGAUAUGUAAAUGUCUAGUAUACAUGCGUGGGGCCAAAAUCUAACUUUAAGCGAGUAACCAUCUUUCCCUGCCAGAGACAACCUGGACAGAAAGACACUGUU